rnacentral:rRNA from 1 species
GACGAACGCUGGCGGCGUGCCUAAUACAUGCCAGUAGAACGCUGAAGAGAGGAGCUUGCUCUUCUUGGAUGAGUUGCGAACGGGUGAGUAACGCGUAGGUAACCUGCCUUGUAGCGGGGGAUAACUAUUGGAAACGAUAGCUAAUACCGCAUAACAAUGGAUGACACAUGUCAUUUAUUUGAAAGGGGCAAUUGCUCCACUACAAGAUGGACCUGCGUUGUAUUAGCUAGUAGGUGAGGUAAUGGCUCACCUAGGCGACGAUACAUAGCCGACCUGAGAGGGUGAUCGGCCACACUGGGACUGAGACACGGCCCAGACUCCUACGGGAGGCAGCAGUAGGGAAUCUUCGGCAAUGGGGGCAACCCUGACCGAGCAACGCCGCGUGAGUGAAGAAGGGUUUCGGAUCGUAAAGCUCGGUUGUAAGUCAAGAACGGGUGUGAGAGUGGAAAGUUCACACUGUGACGGUAGCUUACCAGAAAGGGACGGCUAACUACGUG